AUUCCAAUCGAACUCGGAGAUAGCUGGUUCUCCCCGAAAUAGCUUUAGGGCUAGCGUUAUGUUAGAUUACCGGAGGUAAAGCACUGAAUGGUGGCGGGGCCGAUAAGGUUACCAAGACCUAUCAAACUCUGAAUGCCGGAUAAUUGAUGCAUAGCAGUCAGACAGCGUGAGAUAAGUUUCGUUGUCAAAAGGGAAACAGCCCAGACCCACAGCUAAGGUCCCAAAUUCAUGCUAAGUGGAAAACGAUGUGGAAUUGCGAAAACAACCAGGAUGUUGGCUUAGAAGCAGCCACUCAUUAAAAGAGUGCGUAAUAGCUCACUGGUCGAGUGACUCUGCGCGGAAAAUAUAACGGGGCUAAGCAUGAAACCGAAGCUUGGGCUUGUACUUAGGUACAGGGGUAGGGGAGCGUCGAGUAUGGGGUGAAGUCAGAGCGGAAGCACUGGUGGACUGUACUCGAGUGAGAAUGCCGGAAUGAGUAGCGAGAAUUAUGUGGGAAUCAUAAUGGCCGAAAAUCUAAGGUUUCUUGGGGAAGGUUCGUCCGCCCAAGGUAAGUCGGGAGCUAAGCUCAGGCCGAGAGGCGUAGGCGAUGCACAUACGGUAGAAAUUCCGUAACCACCGAAACUUAAACAGAGGGACACUUCGAAAUAGCGGAACCCGGGCGUUGGUUGACCCGGGCGUAAGGGAGCGAAAUUAGAGUAGCGAAGUCCGCGAUGUUCGGAGGCGAGAAAAGCUCUGAGGUAUGCUAAGGUGCCCGUACCGCAAACCGACACAGGUAGAUGAGGAGAGAAUCCUAAGGCCAACGGGAGAAGGGUUGUUAAGGAACUCGGCAAAUUGACCCCGUAACUUCGGAAGAAGGGGAGCCUCGAAAGAGGCCGCAGUGAAUAGGCCCAAGCAACUGUUUACCAAAAACACAGGUCUAUGCUAAAUCGAAAGAUGACGUAUAUGGGCUGACGCCUGCCCGGUGCCGGAAGGUUAAGAGGAGAGCUUAGCGCAAGCGAAGGUUUGAAUUGAAGCCCCGGUAAACGGCGGCCGUAACUAUAACGGUCCUAAGGUAGCGAAAUUCCUUGUCAGGUAAGUUCUGACCCGCACGAAUGGCGUAAUGAUUUGGGCACUGUCUCAACAGCCCGCCCGGCGAAAUUGUAGUACUGGUGAAGAUGCCAGUUACCCGCAACUAGACGGAAAGACCCCAUGGAGCUUUACUGCAGCUUAAUACUGAAAUUCGGUAGUACAUGUACAGGAUAGGUGGGAGACUGAGAAAUACAGGCGUCAGCUUGUGUGGAGUCGCUGUUGGGAUACCACUCUUGUACUGCUGGGUUUCUAACCUGCGGCCGUGAAUCCGGUCGGGGGACACUGUUAGGCGGGCAGUUUGACUGGGGCGGUCGCCUCCAAAAGAGUAACGGAGGCGCUCAAAGGUUCGUUCAGCACGGACGGAAAUCGUGCAUUGAGUGUAAACGCAUAAACGAGCCUAACUGCGAGACCGACGGGUCGAGCAGUAACGAAAGUUGGAGUUAGUGAUCCGGUGGUAUGUGAGUGG
rnacentral:rRNA from 1 species